AGUUUGAAGGAGUUGGAUUUAUCACAUAAUGCAAUGAAAAACUUUAAAUCUUCACAUCGUAGGAAUUGAUUUUUUAUUUCUUUCAUAUUUUUUUUCGUUAAAUUAGUUACAAUUAAAUAAUAACUUUUACAGGUGGUGAAGAAUUACUGAAGCUGAGUAAUUUGCAGUAUCUUAAUUUGAAUUAUAAUAACUUUAGUAUCAACAA
rnacentral:misc_RNA from 1 species